GCAUUCUGUUUUUUAGGAGCUCCCUCCCUCCCUGAAAGUAUCCUUGAAAAGUUUCUAAAUUUGGUGGCUUUUUAUAGUACCCCUGAAAUGAAAGAAUAUUAUUUUGCUUAUUAGUUUAAAUUCAUAAGAAUGCCUCUUCUGAUAUGCUUAUAUAAGAUUAUAUAUGACUUUUUGUUAAAUCAUUAGCUCAUUUUUCUCUUAGAAGUUUUGUUCCUCUUGACAGUCUUCCUUAAAGGGAUUAAAACUGUAUUAGCAUUGGGCAUAUUGUGUAAAUAGCUUCAGAUUUCCAUUAAUUCAACUUGAAGUUUUUUUGUAAGUAAAUAAUAAUAUUCUCUCAUAUAAUUUAUAACUGAA
rnacentral:lncRNA from 1 species